rnacentral:misc_RNA from 1 species
GUAAUAUAUAUAUACCAAACAGAGUUCUUCUCUUGUUUGGU